rnacentral:tRNA from 1 species
CGGGGUGUAGCUCAGCUUGGUAGAGCACACCCCCACAGGGGUGUUGUCGGUGGUUCAAAUCCAUUCACCCCGACCA